CUACCAGCAUGUAGGAGGCAAUGGCAGUCCUCUGCUCAGGAACUACUCCCAAGGUCUCGAAAGCUCUCUCAGUCUCUGCCAGCCAGUAUUGGGUCUCUUCAAAAGAGGAUCCCCAUGCAAAAGUAGAAAGGUUCAGUCUUUUGUACCUCUCUAUGAAACCGAGGUCAAUCAAGAAAGGAGCGGGGUCCCGAGGUAGAGGGACUGGGGCAGGCUGAGGGUGAACUGGGGGACCCUGUGGUGGCACCUGCUGAUGUGGUGGGGGUACUAGAAUGUGCUGUGGCUGUGCUUGGUGGUACCGUGGCUGUGGUACCGGGUCGUACCGCGGCUGUGGUGCCGGGUGGUACUGUGGAGGAACAGGCUCUUGCCGGGGUGGCUCGGGAUCAGCCUGCUGUAGCGGAGGCUCAACUGCGAUAGCUGAGGAGGUCCGGGUAACUCCCUUCUCUCCUCUCGCCUUUGCUGGGCAGCUACGAGAGCUUCCACCAUCUCAAAUAGUUUGUCUAAAUCCUCCCGAAGCAAAUUAUCUUGGGCCGCUCGGUUUAGUGGGGGCCUUCCUCUCCUCAUUUCCGUGUACCUGCAU
rnacentral:lncRNA from 1 species